rnacentral:tRNA from 1 species
GCCUGGGUGGCUAAGUCAGUUGAGCGUCUGACUCUUGAUUUCGGUUCAGUUGAUUUUGGCUCAGGUCAUGAUCUUGCAGUUUGUGGGUUCAAGUCCCACAUCAGGCU